UCGCCUCUUGUUUACCUAUAAGAGGUCCAGCCUGCCCAGUGACUCUGUUCAACGGCCGCGGUAUCCUAACCGUGCGAAGGUAGCGUAAUCACUUGUUCUUUAAAUGAGGACUAGUAUGAAUGGCACCACGAAGGUUAUACUGUCUCCUCUCUCUAAUCAGUGAAACUAAUCUCCCCGUGAAGAAGCGGGGAUAAUCUUAUAAGACGAGAAGACCCUAUGGAGCUUUAAACUAAGAAUCAACUGCCUUUACCAUAUUUAAAUUCCAGAAGACUAACUUUUACCAAGACAUUCUGAUUUCUAGUUUUAGGUUGGGGUGACCACGGAGUAAAAACUAACCUCCGCAAUGAACAGGGAUCUUCCCUUAACCAAGGACCACAACCCCAAGAAUCAAUACAUUGACAUCAAUUGACCCAUUAAACCUGAUCAAUGAACCAA
rnacentral:rRNA from 1 species